rnacentral:lncRNA from 1 species
CGGUAGCGAGCCCCCAGUGGAAAGGUCUAGUUUGUUCGUUACUGUUCUAUAGUGGUAUCGCCCAUUCUAUAGUAGAAUUCCUAAUUUCAAGUUUCAUCCCUCUGAUGCACCCGCGCAUCCCCAGACUACUUAGUCCCAUUCUUAGACUCAGUAAAGCCCUUUUCUCAGUACCUCCCCUCUAUCUAAUAGGCAAAGCAAUUCUCUGAUUCCACAUUUUCAUUAUGAAGUGGGCACUAUGGCGAGUCCCAUUAGAUCCUUUGGUUUGAAAGAGCAAGUUGAUUUCUUACUGGCUAAAUCCUGGAGUCGGGGCCCCUAUACUAUCUUUCCUCGCUAUUUCUUAUAAAGUACUCCUGCGAUUCCUAUAGAGCACGACACCCACUCGAUAUCCUUUCUUUCCAAAAAACACCACUAUCUGUUGAUGGAGCCCUGCAAUGCAAGCUUCCAACAUUUCGAACCGUAUUAUCUUUCAAUGAUAGCUACUGAAGUCACUAGAGUCGAAGCAGUGCUUUUGUAACCAAAAGGGUCAAGUUGGAUUUCUACUUUGGUUGCUUCCUGCAGUACUUGGUUUCUGCUCUCUCCAUGGUGGUAAGCUCGCCUUGAUCCAUUUCUUCCACUUCUCAGUUCUUCCUUCUUUGGUAUAGACCCUAUCUUUUCUCCCGGCUCUGCCUUUUCGGGUUCUUUUUCUCGUUUCAAAAUGCUGUGUUACCCCGUAGUUGCUUUUUGGCUACGAAACACCACUAUGACAAGCAACCGCUCCGUGGGCUCAAUCAAAGGGGGAAGAAGUUAGCCUUUACUUCUAUUCCCUAUGUCUUCGCAUCUGAUGCCGCUGCCUCCCCAAUGCCUUAUAAAAGUAAGCGGGCUAUAGAUUGGGAUCCGACCCUCAAUCGAUUUCUAUCCCUUCGGUCAACCCUCUAAGCUUUCGUAUACCUGGCAUCCAACCGUCUAACGGGAGGUUCUAGCCACCCAGUUCUCUUCCAUCUUCUUUCGACUGAUUCUUUCAUUGGUUUUUUCAAGGAGUGGGUUAACGGGCAAGUAAUAGAAUGACUAGGUUGUUCCGUCUCUGUGGGUCGUCCCUCUGCCUUGCUUUCUAGCUCACGUAAGCAAUCUUUUGAGCUUUUUCCAGUUCCUUUGAAAGCCAUAUGUUCCUUUGAAAGCCAUAUAGUGGAGUCAUGGCAAUAGUCAAGAUAAAGUAUGGGACGCUUCUUGUGCUUAGUGGAAAAAACAAACGAAAAGCUAAUCCAAACCCUUACCGGCCCACACUUUUGCUUUCUAUAUUACCUCUCUCCGAGGGUUAGUUGUUAGUUCCUCGAUCCCGAGAUCGAUCAACCACGUACUCUCUAUUGAUAGUAGUAUUGCUUUGAUAUAUCCUCAAAAUCAAGGUGCUGAAAGUCUAUUGAUACCUUUACUGGGAACUCCGCCUUUACUACUACACCGCUUACUCGUAGCUGGGGACCCAACUCACCAAUCAAAGAAUAGAUAUCGGAUCGGAGGGAAUGAAACCAACCACUAUUUAUUAGGCUUUGACUCCCGCUUCCAUGUCUCUACUACCUUAGCUGCGUCCUUGCUUCUAUUCUCUAUUCUUACUUAUUAUUAUCUAUUUUCGAUUAUUAUUAUUAGAACUUAUGCAGUCAAUCAAUACACCGAUGAACAAGUAUAAUGAGCAAUCAAUACACCAAUGAGUAGGUACGGCUUAGACGAUGAACCAGAAGACGAGGGUAGUCUCAUUGUUAGUCAGAAUAAUUGUAGUAGUAAUGAGAAUGGAACCUGGGCAUACAAGGAUUACAGGGAUGCGCAUGGAAUGGAAGACUUCCUAGCAGGCCGAAGAGCUUAGAAAUCAAUAAUAGAGAAUGCCGAUCUGCACUACAAGACCUACAAGACCGACCACAACAACAAUAAUGGAAUCACUGCUAACAAGACUGUAUAUUAAUAGGGCCAACAAAAGACAGACGGAACCCACUGCAAAAGCCUUCCUUUCCGACAAGCUACUCUGUCUUUCCUAGGAACAACACUCCGCGUAACCAAUUCGAACUCGCUACCGCGUAACACAAAGAAAGAAGUCGUAACUAAACUAGUACAGCUAAGGCAACAACCACUGCUUCUAGGCUUGAUUAACUAGUGCUUCCAAUGCUCAAACUAAUAACUGAGGCUUUCACUGCCGAUCCUUACUCUAUUAUAGAAGAAGAUGUGUGACUUAGGCGCUGAAGAAGACUAGAAAGGGUGAGCAAUCGGGACUGCUUCAUAAAUAAGCACAAAAAUAUAGACCUGAGAGUCAGGGUGAACGGGAAAGCAAAAGACAGAAAGGAACCUUUGAGUUUUCAAGCACUCCGUGAAGACGCAAGUAGCCUUAUGCCAGUCGGUUCCAGUACCCUUGACAAGAAAGUAGACCUGGAAAGUAUACGAGCGGUUCAACAAGCCCAGAUAAAGCAGAAGAAAAGAAGGAUUAGAAGCAGUGCACAAGUCAGCUGCUGAAACAAGAGCAUAAGCUUGUUCUGUCGUUAUUAUUUGUUACUACUGUAUUAACGAUAUAUAUGACUAUAGCUUGUGUCUGUCCUUCAUACGAGUCUGUCCUUGAGUCUCUUUCAGUUCUGGUUUUUGUCUGUCCUGAAGUAGAGUAUCCUUCUGUUCAAGGUAAAGUAUAAAGUAGAUAGAGUUGAUAGAAGCAAGUGGAAUCUCGUAUAGAGGGCAGGUACUCUGGUCAUUAAAGAAUCAAAGGUGGUAUAAGCAGUGUUGUAUCUCGGUUAAGGUGUAAGUCUCUUGUUGUAGUCUAAGGUGAUAGGGAGUUUGCUUUCCAGCCUCAAAUUCCAGUAUUAGUUUACUCGGCGUAAGACUCAUGAGCAGGAUUCUAAAGUAAAGUGUGAGUUGCAUCUAUAAGAUCCUCUCCGUCGGUUAAGUCAGCAGUAAGUGAUUCCGCAAGUGGAGUUGACCUGCAUUUAUAUAAGAUGGAUAGGUUAUUUGAAUGAUUUGUUUUCCUCGGAGUAAGGCGUGGUGCGCUAAAGGAGAUGAAAUUCCAUGUUGCAGUUAAGUGCGAAAGUAAGUCAACAGAAGACACAAGGAAAAUCGAGUCUCUCUCUUUGGGUGCUCGCUUGCUUUACCCUCUUUGGCUGCAAGUCUAGGUUCGGCUCUUGGCUUGUGCCGAAUAGAGACAAAUACCAUAAUGGAGGUGUGGGAUAGUAAGGCUUAGAUCAAGUAGUGGGGCAGGCCAAUAGACAUUAGUGGAAUACUCGGCAUUAGUGGAAUACUCGGCAUUAGUGGAAUACUCUACAUUAGUGGAAUACUCUAAUGCAGGAGAGGUGGGCAGGCUAAUAGUAAAGGUAGUCUUCAUCGUAUUCCGUAGAUCAAAGAUCCGGAUCCCUUGGUUAUAGCCUCCAGUGCUGUAGCGAAAGCCUUGUUUUCAGUAGUACCUUUCUCAUUAGUUGGAAUUGCAUUCUCAUAUUCCCCCGUUCUAUUCUUUCCAGUAGUUGGUUCAGCCCAAGAAGUAGGCGUUGGAUCCCCAGUUCGAGUGUCCGUUUUCAACGGUGGAGUAGUAGCUUGAUGGCUCAUAGGCACAUGGAGUAAAGGAAGCCUUGGGUUCAUUGGUUUCAUAACUAGAUAAGUGUUAGUAAAGGACUUCUUCAAUAGUCCCCGGGGAAGGAGGAGGCUAAAAUACUUUCAAGCAAGCCUUAGAUUAAGUAGUAGCAGACCUAUAGUUAAGAGCGGAAGAGCUAAAGAAAGGAUAGGUGGGGCACUAGACAUAACUAGCCUUCAAGGGCGGGAGGUUCGAACUCAAAAGUAUGGUUCUAGACCUGUAGCUAAAGAACAAGAGCGAGGGGUUUGAGUUUAAAAGCAAGUAAAGCAAAACGAAAGGCAAAGAAAGGCAGCCUUAUUGUAAGUAAAGCAAGGUUUGGUGUCAGUAAGGGGAAGGGACAAGUACCAAUACGAUAAUCAGAGUCAGUAUAGUAAGGCCGGGUAACAAGAGCGUAAGAGUUCAAGCAAGGGCAGUCAACUCCUAGGUUCGUAGUUCAAGUGCUAUAGUCAGUGUUCGAUCUGAUAGUCAGUAGUGAAAGCAUGGAUCGGUUGAACUCGCUACCGCGCUACGCGAACACAACAGAAGUGCAGAAUUCUUUGGAGUCAAAGGAGUAGAGGUAUGGAUUUGAGAAUGAAAGGCAAGGUGUGGGCUCGGGCUAUUGAGUUUAAUACGCUCCCACGUUACUUAUUCUUAUUUACUAUCAAACCACGUUACUUAUUCUUAUUUACUACUCUAUCAAACAAAUACAUUAUGGAGUUUAUUGCGUGCAUUUGUGCUCGAGUUACUUGCCGGAAUGUCACUAUUGAUAACAAAGAAUCGAGUUACUUACUAUCCGAAUUGAACUAGUACAAACAUAAGAUCUUUCCUCUUCUCUAGCCUCUGAUCUUGUAUUGCAACACCCGUUAGUGCUUACUUGCCAUCUGCCCCGAACCCUGCACAUGUUCUUAACCAACCGACCCUGUGCUACCAUGAUACUUAACUGCUUCCUUUGCCGACCUGACCUCUCUACUAGAGUUACCCGACCCGACCUCUAUACCACUACUCAUAAGAAUAAGGCAUCUACUAAUAAGGGAUAUACUAAUCAGAUACUAAACUAAGAAUAAGGGAUCUACUAACUGGUCUUCCACUCUAACCAUUAACAUAAGGGCUGGCCAUUCUUCUGAUCUCUAAGACCUAACAGGCACUGCUCCUACUGCUUGUCUUGCUCCGCCAAGAAACUACCUUCCGUUUCCGACUCCCUAGUGAUUCACUCCCUUCCCGAUACAAAUAAAUAAGUAAUGGAAUCCAUCCACUUAAAUAAAUGCAGGUCAACAACACCCUUACGUGCUUCCUUGCCAUCUUCAACUUACUAGAAGGGCCUAUAGUGUUAACCCCGACUCAAUCUCUUCUAAGUGUGAACUGAACCCCUACCCGAACCCAACUUAAAGUGAAGAAAGAAAUCAUGGAAUUGCAGAUUAACCGCCAACACCUGGAUACUUAACUCGAACAGAAACUAGAAACAUAUUUAUAUAAGGGCAAAAGCAUUUACUUCUCUAUUGACUACUUUCAGAAUGAAAUUGAAGCUUUUGAGCAGUGAGGAUACCUCCCCUACUUCCUGAACUGCACUACUUGGCCUACCUUUCCUCUUUCAUUGCUAGCCUCUCUGUUUUAUUACUUACAUCCUCCUCCCUUAGCUUCCAGUCCUGUGUAUUCGAGCGUCAGUCAAGGAAUUCAUAUGCUCCGGGCCCAGCAACAACUAUUUCAUAAUGGAAUUAGUUUACUAAUGAGUGAAAGGCUUUACCGAUAGAACUGGCACCACUACUAUAAGGGGCAAGAACUAGACUUUCCACUUGACCUCGAACAGGAGAAGUGCUACCUGGCCUCUACUUCUGACUGAACUGCUUACCACAACUCUCUCCUUCUUACUGAACUGCUUCCCUUGCAGACCUCGCUGUCAACAAAUAACUUCAUGAGGCUCAUCUAACCCUUGCAACUAUACCGUAGUCCACUACUAUUGUAUAACUCAGGCUCAUCUACCUAUGGCUACACUACUUUCAGGGGCAAGUCACAGUAGAAUUAGAAUAUGGAGCUGUAACUCUACUUCCAACAGCGGAGACUCAACUCUUACAGCAGCUGCCUCUAGUAUUGGUCUAGUUACUUCAGGCAAUCGGUGGGCUUGUCUCAUUCUGAUCUACUACCCUAGUUAGUUGAAUUCUGAUCUUAGUCUUACACUCAAUCCGUUUUCUGGUCAUAUGAGUGGAAUUCAUAUCGCCGUACUACUGAAACUACCUUCUUAGAAUUCAUACCAAUACUGGAUGCUUACUGGUUGAAUUCUUUGACUAUACCUCUGCUCUGGCUCUCAUCGAAUCUCACUCAAUAAACUGCCGCGUAACAUUAGUAGUUACUUGGCCGGUACUCAACUCUCCCCUUCCCGCUUCGUCACCAACAAAUACAGAUGCAACAGGACAGGACCACUACUUAAAGGGGAUUCCACUUCACCAAAACACGGGUUUUUUCGUAGCACUGGCAUUUCCCCUGCUAACGAGGUCCAAAGUCAUUCCUUUUUUGCGUUUUACCGUGCAACAACACUGCCGCGUAACGCGUUUUUAAGCUCGCUACCGUUUAGCUCAACUCCUACCGCGCCUAAGUCGGCUUGGUCAUUAGUAGUUGCUUGGUGGACUUGUUUAGAAUUUCUUAUAACUACCUAUUGGUUGCUGCCGCGCAGCGGCUUGCGCCGUUGCUUGGCCUUGCCUCAUAGCACUGGCAUUUUCCUUCCUGAGUGACCAGAUUGAGAUUCUCUUUUCACGUUUUACCGUGUUUUUUCGUUGUAAAUGGAUUUCCCUUCCUGGACCAAUCCAAAGUCAUUCCCGGACACAGGACUUCCUCAUAACUCCCUAACGUCCGUUAUUCGUUGCUGCCGCGCAACGUUAGUAGUUGCUUGGCCGUUUUCCCGUGUUUUUUGGUAGCACUGACAAUUUCCCUCCUGAGUGACCUUAUGGAAAUCACAAUUUGACGUUUUCCCAGGACUAGUUUAUUGCAAGCUAACCUUAGCAACGUGGCCAAGUAACUGGGGCCAAGUCGACAAGCAAGGGAACACUAAAACCAUAGAGCUAGAGCAGAGGCACAAGCUUUCUAUCAUACCUAGAGCGGCGAGCAGGGGAAUUUUCAACAAGCAGCUGACAAUCCAACCUCUGAUUCUCGCCCUCUUGCGGAUAUUGUAGUUUAGGCAGGAACACCAGAUUGAGAGGUUCAGGCUUGUAAGUAUUCAAGAACACCAGUAGUUUUACUUGACUCUUCAACUUACUAUAGGGGCCUCGCCAGUACUUUACUCUGCCCCGCCCCUCGUAUUGGAAUGAAGAGUUGCGGUAAACCCUUUACUACUCCCAAACACAGGACUUGGGUAAGAAACAUCAGAAUUAGUGGUAGUGGUCUUGAUGACACGGCACAAACAAUAAACAAGUCGUGAGUUAGCCAUUGCAGCUUGUCCCGCCGAGUGGAAUUCCGUAUUAGUUGACAGAGCUCCUGCCUUUCUGAAUUGAGUGUAAGGAUUUCCGUUCUAAAGUACGAGUAGCUUGCCCUCGAAAGAUUCUUGUCCUAGGUAAGAAAUAGAGAGAAAAGAACCUGUCUCAUAGUAGAGUGACGAGUUGAAGUACACUUUCCUUGCACUCAAAGAUAGGAGUCAAUCCUUUGACUAUGCUAACUGAAUUCGGUUAAUAGUUUUAAGCAGCAGUGCCUGUAUUUCAUGAAACUCUAAACUCCUAACUCAGGUACUCACUCCCGAACACAGGAUCAGUAGUAGAUUCCAAUUAAGGAGUUGUUGUUCCAAUUAAGGAGUUGUUGACCUUAUAUGAAGUUUCCGUUCGAGAAUCAGAGGAAUAAGAUAAGUAUUCUAAUUUCACUACUAAGUAACAUAGACAAGAGAAGCUGUGUACUUAAUAAUAGGGCAGAAGGAAAGGCCAGGUCAGUUAGUACCAGUAGAUUCCAAGGAACAAGCCUUAUAGUAGGAGUCGUCCAGUGCCCAUAAUUCAUGGUGACGCGGCAGUCCGGGUAGUAGAAAACCAUAAGUCAGAAAACAAGUAGUAUAACCCAUGGGUCUAAGCAGACAACUUCGCUAAAGGAGUAGUAACACCUCUGCACUAUGAGUGAAAUUCUGUAAUUCCAACUUGUGAGAUCAAUUCCUUUAACUACUGUUCCACUCAGCUCAGGUUCUUGCUUGGUGGACUCGCUUCUAACUAAUACAAACACCGGCUAGUACUAUACAGUUGACAACAUUCCUUCCAAAGAACACAGGACAGGACUCCUAAAGGUAAGAAAGCAAGCUACUACUUGAUCAUCGGAUCAUUAAUACCUUAGUUUAGGUAGGCACGGGAACCCUCUUUUCCUUGGCCUCACUCCUACUGUUGCUCAAAAGAACUCCACUUUCAUAACUCCCCUACAAGGCACCAGUGGAUUUGAUCUGAAGUCAACUAAGAAAGAAUGCAUUUUCUCUUACGUGCCCUAGUAUGCAAGGAAAGAAAGAGAACUAGUUUACCGGGGCUAUGGAACCAGUGAAGUUGCCAGUUGCCCUAUGACUUGAAAUCAGCAUCUUCUUCUAGUAUUCCUAUUCUUCCCUAUUCUAGUAUUCCUAGUCUUAGUAAUUAGCCUAUUCUAAGUAUUCUUCUUCCCUAUUCUUAGUAUAAUUAGCCUAUUCUAAGUAUUCUUCCCUAUGCCCAGAGCCUAGCUCCUCUCUUGUACUAUAGCCUAGCUCCUCCAUUCGAUAUUGACUACUUGCUUAACACAAGCACUGAAUCCCAUUCUAUUCUUAAGCCCAGUCCACACUAUUCUUUAGUUCACUACCGAUAAGUCAACUCUUCUCUUUACUAACAAACAAUACUCCGGCUCAUCUAACUCAAUUGGUUUUCUCAUCUAACUCCCUUUUCUAUGGAAGUAUUGCUACUACCCUAAGCCUCACCCUCCUUGUUGGAAGAGAACCAUUCCUCAGUGUCCCAUGUCUCCUUACACGUGUAAGUGACUGUGACAUUAUUUGAUACAAGGAAGGAAUCAAUGUAUACUUGUAGGGGCCAUGCCGCAUAAUAUGCCAAAACGCCCGGUUCGUUGAACUCAGCCCCCUCUCGUAGCUCUUCAGCAACUUUCACCCACGCUUCUGGGUUCUCCUUUGGCUGCUCCGUCAGCAUUCCUAUACAAAAAGGUCUCCACAGCUUCUGGUAAGUAUUCAUUAGCUUCCAUUGGAUCUCCCCCUCGUUUUUGAUCUCCUCUCUAAACUGCUGUGUGCUUAUUAUGGGCACAUAUGCGAAUUCUAAGAGUGAGAACUCGCCCCCAUGCGCAGCAAUGUUAGCCUAGCCGCCUCUGCUUCGUUUUUGCAGUACAUUUGUUCCGCAUUUCCCUUUGCAUUAAAGCGCAUGUACUCAUGUAUAGCGAUUGGACUCCUUAUCUCUUCGCCAGUCAUUACUACUUUCAAGCUUUGUUUACUUUGAGUGGUGAGUAAUGCCUUGUCUCCUUUCUCUAAUGGUCUCUCAACAGCUCCUAAGACUAGCUCCUGUGCCCUAGCCUUCGCUACCAUUAUCUGAUCCACUUCUCUUACCCUUAUGCGUAUGGUUGCCGGCUCCUCUGUUCUCGCUUGCAUCAGCUCUGGAUACGAAUACUUAUUCAACUACUCUACAACUAGUAUUUCUUCUGGGCGCGGCUGUCCCUUCCCCUUCCCCUGAUUCUUCUGUCAACUAAUACAGAUGAAAAUGGACUACUACUACUGAUUCUACUACUUGUAAACUGAAGACGAAACUUGGUAUUCCACUCACACAAGUACAGGAACCAGAACAGGAACAGGAGCAGACCCACUUACUACAGGCUCGGCUCAUCUCAGAAACUAUGGCUCUCAUCGAAUCUCACUCAGGCUCCUACCAACACAAGUAAACCUUUCCUAGGCAAUUCUUAUGAAGACCCAGACCAGGCCAAGCUACUUAAAGUUUCGUUCUUCUGAGCACUUUCCACUUAUGCUCUGUGAACUCAGGCUUCUUUCUAUACCUAUGGCUCUGUAAACAAAUACUUCUCUUCUUGAAACAAGCUUAGCUUUCUCUCCUCUUGCUACUAUCUGAUAGAAUCACUUUUGAACUCACUUCCAUUCCACUGUUGCUACUAUACUAUCUGAUUGCCCCAUAAACUCCCUGUCCCUGCCGCUUGAACAAAGGAAUUGAGGAAGGACUUGCCCAGUAGUUUGGCCAUUAGAAGUUACUUGUCUAGUAGUGUCUUGGUGGUUAACUCAGGAAUAGAUUGGGUGGUUACCAUACUUCAAUGGAUUUCUCCUUAUAUAUCUAUUAUUAUUUAUUUAUAAAGAAAGAAAGUAUUUAUAAAGAAAGAAAGAAAGUCACUCGGGAUGAAUAAAGAAAGAAAGAAAGUAACUCGGGAUGAACACUCUGGACCACUACGCCGGAAAGCAAGUAAACCGGUCAAAGCCUCUCUCUCCUCUGUAAACUAACAACUCCAGUUCUUGUUUCUGUCUAAACUAACCACUAAUUCCCUUGUUUCUGCCACUCCAGUUCUUGUUUCUGUCUAAACUAACCACUAAUUCCUAUGUCUUCUAUAACACCCCGCCCCUCUGCCUGGCUAGGCUAAUUCUUCUGUUUCUUAAGAUCUAGUAUCUGUUUCUUCCGAUCUUCUGUUUCUUCCGAUCUAGUAUCUGUUUCUUCCGAUCUUCUGUUUCUUCCGAUCUAGUAUCUGUUUCUUCCCCAAGUCCUGUGUGAGCCAGUAAGUAGAAGGCUUUGCAGCUAGGUCAGAGAUAUUAGUUGGCUUAGAAGCGAUAGCAACUCUUAAUUCCACUCAGCGGUAGGAAAGUCAGAAUUAACCUCGAGUCCACCGAUUGCCUGCACUGAGUUACUGGGCUAGGUCAGUUAGUAGCUAGUAAGCCCACUACGAGGAUAGAGGGAGUCCACCGAUUGCCCGAGCCAUAGAUAGAACUCACCAAUUAGAGACUUAACGAGCACUUCCACUAUCACUCCUACUGUUGCUUCAUAUCUAUCUUCUUAUUCUUCUGGAACUGGCUAUGAUACUGCUUGCCCUGCCCUGAACCAACCAUCCAAAUAUGGGUGUCAAAUGCACUCUAACAGAACUUCUGGGGUUUGAUGGUCAAUCCCUUUGUGCCUUAGGUUUCUGAUCAGUAGGGCUACAGGAAUUGUGGGUGCCCAGAUUCCAAAAGUGGAAGAGAUGCCAAAUGCAUAGUCCGCUUCCUUGAGAGAGAUUCCAGGGCCAAGCAACGACUAGUAGAAUGAGUGGAAUACCGACCCGGCCAAGUAACUACCAAUGUGUAGCGGCAGCCGCCAAGCCACUAUCAAUCUGGUGUAACAAGAGAAGCAAGGGCGGAAGAAACUACUAAUGAACUCCCUUCCCGCUUCAGAACAAGUAGACUACUUUCCCCGACCUCAAAUCUGACUUCCUAGCACCUAGCUUUGGCGACUUCGCUCCUGCUUCUCAGCCUUACUAUACCUUGGCUUUCAUUCCCGCUUGUUUACUUUGUCUCCGGGUGGCUUUAGAGUGUCCUCUCCCCCCUUUGGUUACCAAAUUCUAUAUAUAUGUGUCUCAGGUAACAUGGUAGGUAGAGAAAGACACAGCUUAGCAUUCCUUUGAACCUGUGGGUGGUAGCAAAUUCUCUUUCUUCUGCUCCAUCUGUUACUUUAAUAAGAAUAUAAUCCUCCUGGGAUAUAAUAUCACUAAAUAAAAACACAUAUCCAGUUCUUUCUUCAUAUCCUUGAAUUGCAUUAGAUCUAUCUUCUGGUUGUCGAUGUAGACUUUCCAGCCUAUUCUUGAGACUUAACUGCCUCCAAUUUAAGCUUACUUUUUCACAGCUUAUUCGGGAGCUAACACAGCUGAUGAUCUUGCCAAUCCAGUUCAAUAUGAUUUUGUUGAAACUUAUGAUGAUCUUUCAAACUCACAAACAGACAAAGUCAGAAUAGAAUGGAAGAGCGCCCCCCCGUGUUAAGAACAAGAGGUUGGUAUAUAAGUUAGUGAGAGGACACUAUUUCUCCAGUAAAGUAAAGAAUAUAAUGGAAGUCAAGAGCACGCCGGUUUGUUAGUAACCUUCUUCUAUAAUACCUAUGGGGGUAACUCGACUGGAUGCAGUUUAUGCGGAUGCUGCGCCUCUUAUCCUUGCUUCGCUGCACCUAAAUCUGACUUGUUAGGGGACUGAUCUUCCCUUACAUAUAGUAUAGUAGGAGUGAAGAAGCAAAGCAAAGGUGAGGUCGGCACGGCACCAUGUAUUGAUGUGAAAGCCCUCCACUCUAAAGAUGUAUACGAGUUUGUUUAGGUGCCAAAGAAUUCCACUCAAAAGCCUUUGAAGCGAGGUGUACUAAUGAAGGUGUAGUUCACAGAGGCAAUUGACAAGCGGCAGUCCGGACUCGACACUGAUUGAAUUGCAUGGCCUUGCCUUCUUAAGAUACAAAUUAGCAUUCCAGGGCUUAUAUAUACGUAAACCUAACACAGCAUUCCCUUUUUCGACCUCGCGGCGGUAACGAAACAUAUUCACACCAGCGAAAGACUUAUUUACGUUACUUGGAGGCGGAGUGAACUACCCGCAUAGUCGAUAUGAGAAUUAUGGAAUAAGACUUACUUACUGGGGAACCACUUCAGAAUGAUCCUCCGGCACAAAACUUCUUGUUGUUGCUCCCACCCAUGAUGCACGAAAUCUUGAUGCACGAAACCUUGAUGCACGAACGACCGGACCGACCUAUUCAUUACGGUUAGCUCAACAACUGCGAAUUCGAUGCCGAAACACAAGUAAGGAAAAGAAGUAUUGCCUAUAGUUGCCUAGUGGCUAAGUCAAUGUUGCUAAGGAGUCAAAGAAAUACUUGCUUGCCUAGUGGCUAUAGUAGUUCAGAAGCCUAGUAGCAGCAGUAGGAGCAGAGUGAAAAGAGCAAAUAAGGCUUGAACACCAUCUUUAGAGUCGACAACACUCGCACCCACCGCAUUAGCUUCAAUGCCCGGUACUAUAUGAUUUCUUUUCUACCUUGCCGACCUCAACUCGUCUGCACUUAUAUUAAAGCUUUCUGCUUGGCCUGGCAUUUCCUUACCCUUUUCCCGCAGUAGCUCCUGAACGUACCUUUCCGCGGGCGGAUGACUGACUUUCUAGUGCUUCUGAUCUUGCUUGUUCAAUUGAGACUUCCCUUCCCGCAUCUAAGCCUUAUUCAGAGGAAUAUGACUAAUAAGUUCAGUUGUUCUAUACUCCCCAACAACACCGAGAUCCACUAUAGAUGUAUAAUCUGACUCUCGAGAUGUAUAAUCUGACUCUUUUUUCUAUACCAAAUAGCAUUUGCUUGCAUCUUUUUCUUUUACUUGCGCGUUGCGUUAGGGGAGUUCGAGUCGAGGGGGCACAGCUAUAUGUGUCAUUUCACAGAGCAUGGACCUCUGUAUGCGAGUACGCCAUGAAAGAAGAGAAAGAGCCACUCGUCUGGGGAAAACAGUAAACCACCCAGAGAAAAGAAUCCAUCAAGGCUAAAGAAUCCCACAGGAGACUACCGGAAAGAAACCCAUGGCUUGUACUGCUGCUGAAAGCCUUUGACCGGUGGGAGCAGGUGUAUCCCGAGCAAGAAAUGGUAAAGAUGCUCUUCUCGUCUUACAACUCAAUGAGGGCUGUUUUCGAAGAUAUGAAAAGGAUAAAGGAAACAGAGCGGAGCCUAGAUCAAAGGUUGGAAAGCUACCUAGAUAGUCAAGGGUGGCAAGAAGAGUCUACAGUACUUCAGUUGAAGCUAAAAUGCUUCCUAUUGGACUGGAGAGCGACCAAUCGAAUCUUGGGCAGGCCCAUAAAGACAAAACAGAUGUUACUAUAUGGUAGGCCGAGUAGUCAGAAGACCCUAAUGUUUGAAAUGCUGGGAGAGGUAUGGGGAGCCCAGCACACAGAAAACACUCCUUCCUAUUUGAAAUGCUGGGAGAGGUGUUGAAUAUAUACCAUGAAUCCACUAUAAAGAAUGACUGCAAGGGGGUGCAUGAUCAUUAUGAUUUGUGGUUGUUCGAUGAAUUCCAUGUUGCAGAGGACGAGGGGAUGCAAGCAGGACUAGGAAAGGCUAUCAUGGCUGUAGCGAAUAACACUUGAUUAAGAGUAUUGGAUGGGAAGCAAUGCAGGUUAGACGCCAGGUAAGGGAGGAUGUUCCACAAGAAGAACAAUGUACCGGGUGUCACCAGCAACCAUUAUCCUGCAGCAAGUUUACGCGAGAAGGGACCCCAUUCCAUGAAAUAUUCCUGAGGUUAUGCUUCACAAGCAAGAGACCCGCUUUAAAGGCUGAAAGGAGAAUAGAAACUAUAUGGGGGUGCAUGCAAAGGAGACUUCUACAAAUGAGAGAGAAAAGGCAUCCUUAAGAUCAGUGGUGGAACUGUGAAUGGAAGCUUAUGAUAGGGAGCAAAGUCCCACUCUCAGUAAUGUACUGGCUUUGAUACCGAAGCAAGUCAGAAUACAGGUAGAUGAGCCGACUGAAGCAAGUAGGAAGUAAGAAUUCCACAAGUCAGCCCACCACCCUAACAAGCAAGUCAGUAAAUGCCUACCCGCCAAGACACGACUACAAAGGCAACCGAACCGAGCCAAGCUAUUACUAAUGUUACGUGGUAGCGAGCUAAAAGACUCCCGAGUUUGAGUCCCAUUGGCACCGGGGUAAGACUUGCGGGUGCUGGUUUCAUCCUUUGACUGACGAGUUUCAUUCUGACUUGAUAACUGGAACAGAGCAAAGUGACUCCGAACUCUACCUUUAUUAUGAGACCCCUAAGGCUACGGCUACUUUACCUCUCAAGCUACUAUAACUAUGGCUACUGGCAACCGAACCCACCUCUACUCUAUCAACAACUACUGAUGAAACUACCUACUAAAAUCAGGAUUGAAUGGACACCCGCACCGCAGCAAAAGUACCUGACCCGGCACAAGUAUUGCCAGAAAGAGUUCAGUCUGCUGCCCCAGCUACAGUUCUAAAGUGAGCAGCUGUGAGAGUUUAAGACCGGAUAUCUCUAUUCUUCUCUGUCUCUUUUCACUCAAACGAACUAUACGGGCUCCUGCCAAGCAACAAUAGUAGUAAAGAGGAAAGAAGUGGAAUCGAUUGCAGCAGACAUAAGAAGAGGUCAGUCUGGUAUUCGAUCUCUAGCUAGGGUUGGGCAAGAAGGAAUGAUUACUUUUACUGGUUUACUUAGAGAUAGAGAUGGAUGAGCCAUAACUUGAUUAGUUUACAGAGAAGAAUUAAGCUUUCCAGAAUACAUAAUUGGUAGCGCACCCAUCUAAACUAGCAUUGAUUAACACAAGCACAAUAACCUCUUAAGUAUGGUUACCACCCAAACACAAGCACCUUCAUCCCCGGCUUCAGAUCUUGUUGUUGUUGGGCCUGUGCCUGGACCUGGACCUGCUGAUUCUUCUUCUACAAUUAUAUAUUAUCUGACUUCAUGCCCCAACGUUAGCUAAAGAUUGAUUUCGGUCGAAUUCCACACCCAGUGUCUUUACUCUCCAUUCUUAUAUCUAUAUAUUGACUCUCCAUUCUUAUAUCUAUAUAAUAUGUCAAAGCUAGAGAUGAAAUUACUGUUUGCCUUAACAGCUUUCAUUAUUGGGGUUCCUCUGCUCAACUAACUCUAAACUCCUAACUCAGGUACCAGAAAGGAAGUAACAAACAGGGGUGAAUUCUAGGUGGGUUGGCAAGAGAAGCUAUCAAAGGUUUAGGCUAAGGUACGAUCUAGUUGAGAGGGAUAGAUCUAGCUAAUACUAACUAAUACAUAGUUCCAGUGAGAGUGAAUACAUAGUUCCAGUUAGAGGAAGAGUUUCAGACCGCUCACCUGUAUCUUAUCCCUUACCAGAGUAGAAGCCCGCUUCCAAGUCAUUGGCAUCUAGUAGAGGAGAGGCAUUAGGGAAGAAAGAAAGAAAGUAGAGGCGGGAAGGAAAGAAACUGAAAGAAUUAAUUACUAUCAGGAGUGAGCAGCAGGCGAGAGAGCGCAGCAGAAUCAUUAUUGUUCUCCUAGGUAUUAGUGAAAUCAGUCAACUCAAACAGACCCGAUUGCUGCUGUCAACAACUCCCUAAAAAUGCUUCUUUCAACAAGCCAACACACCUUACCUGACUUUAGAACCUGACUUUAGAACCUUACUUGAUCACUGAACCUGGACUACUACUUUAAGAAGGGUCAAACUAUCUCUUUCCUCUGAUCGAGUAGACCUAACUAACCCAGCUUUGCUUCUUUCUUUAUAAGAUUCCACUCGUGGUGCCGAUAAGGAUUGAUGCAAUCGGUAACUAUGCUUUCUUCUUCUCUGCUAUGCCCAAUAAGGGAACUACUAAUAGGUCUAACCUGUGUCACUAAUACUAUCCAUCUGGUCUUCCACUCGGUAUUCCACUAUCACUCUCACAGGAACUGGGGCAGCACCUUAACCUUACUUUCUCACUGGCACUGCUUCUAUUUCUUCUCCUCUUGCUUUUUCACUCUUGUUCUUUUCUCUCUUUGGGCCCUACUUAUACUACCAACCCGGAUUCUGUUGAUAAAGCUUCCUCACCCGAUCCACAAGUCCUGUAUUCAUGUGCCGAGGAAACUCCAUUCUUAAAGGACACAGUGCUGGUUGGGUUGGUGACUUCAAUCUAUAAUGAGGCUUGCUCUUCUGCUUCCGUUCCUUCUAAGCCACAUUAUAACUACUGCCCUACAAUAUAAUGAUUUCAAAGCGGAGAUGCACCUUUUCCCUAGUUGACUUAUAUCUUCUAAUAUAUUUCUUCCUAACAUCUUGAACUGCUGGAUCUGGAUCUGCCCUUGACUCUGGAUCUGCCCUGAACCCUUACACUGAGGAAUGGAAUUGUUAAUGACCCGCUUCUAAGCCGUAACUUCCCGCUUCCCUUGAUGGACGCAUACAGGACUUGGUAACAACUGUGACUAACAUAUACCCUAUGGCUCAUCCACCUCUGGCUACUCGGUAUUCCACUAGAACAAGAACAUUCACAGCGGAUUCGGGAACUCACACAGCAAUUCCACUAUUUCCCUUAGCUUAAAAGCCAGCUCUUUCUCUAGGCGCAAAGAUAGAUUGAGGCACCACUCACCAUUGAAUAGAAGGCACUGCAAUCAUUGAAGAGAGGCACCCCGACCCGACCUCCAAUAGACCCGAGCUCUGUAAACUAACACAAGGGAAAGGGACUGCCGCUUUGAACUCCUGCCGCCGAAAGCAUAUAUUGUAAUAACUUUGUUAUGACUGUUUAUUGGCUACCGCACAACGUCUUACUUAGUUGCUUGGUCAUUAGUAGCAAAACAACACUGCCGCGGCACAUUAGUAGUGCCUUGGCGUCUAGUAGUUACUUGGCCGGUAUUCCACUCGAACAGGCAAUUAUCCACGACUACUAAGGUAAAGAAGGAACUUUGCGCUUCAACGCUAGGCCGCGAGUAAUUGAUUCUUCCCUGAACAACACUGCUACACCAACUAGUACUAGAUUAUGAUUCUAUUGUGGACUAGGAUGAAACUAGAAAGAGGUGUUUCUUCUGUGCUCUCAAGAUUCAAUGAAUUCUAAAGCGUUAAGUCAUGCCCAACCUUUUUUACGGUUAAUGCUUGUUCGGUGAAAUACUAGUUUCUUUGCAUUGCAUCUGUAGCCUGCAGGAAUUCCAUCAGUGUCGAGUGUGAAAGUAGAAGUGGAAGUAGGUGAUUCUAAAGAAGAAUCGGAAGCAAGAUAAAGUGGAGAGGAAAGAGGUGAUUGUGGCAGUGCUAUAGCUCCAAGUCAUGUUUCUUUGGGUGCUUCUUCAAGGAAGGAUAGUUUCAUCGUAUUAAGAAGAAUUCAUAUCAUAGGCUUUGCGGUGAAGAAGAGCAGAGGUGUUUUAUCCGCGCUAACAGGAGGAGAAUAGAGGCAAAGUAACAGUAGCAGUGGCAGGGACAAGAUAACAAGUGGAUCUCGUAUCUAUUAUAAGUGGUAAUCAUCAAUCCAUAUUCUUUUCUUCACUUCCUGGUCCUGUUUGACUCUUCACUUCAAGUGGUAAGUGGUGUUUCGAGUUUCGUAUAUUAAGAUCAUCUCUUGGCGAACGAGUGCCCACGUAGCGGUUAAGUGUAUAAAGUGACCGAGAAAGAAGCUCCGUAUUUGGUAGCCCUCCAUCUCUGCUUUUAUCUUGACUUCCCCGAACUUCCUUUACUUUCGAAAGACCUACCUUGGUUUUUUUCUCUGCUCUACCAGCUUUUUGCUUGAAUCACUUAUAUAGGCACCUCGAGACUAAUCCGACAGGGGCAUUCGCAACGGCAGCUAUUCCUUUGACUUUGCUUGGAGUACGUUUUCCUCAAGUGAGAGUUGUGGUCGACCUCUGUCACUUAGUAACUGUCACUUCUUGCCUUCUUUACCUUUACUUUACUUCCCCCGCUCAGCUCACUCCUCUCCUGUUACAGACUCAUAACGGAUCUCACAGCUGAUUCAGUUGUCUAACUAUACUUUCCCCUCUUCUUGACCUGCAUCUUUAGUUGAAACUUCAUCUUCAGUGGAAACUUCAUCUUAUCUAUACUACUUUCCUGUCAACCCAAUCACCGAACCUAGACUUUAUAAGCGCUUCUCUUUCUACGAUAGCACUUUCACUGCCUUCACUUUGAUGCUUGGACAUUGACUACUUUUACCCCACCGCUUAUGGAGUUGGGCCAUAAGAAAGGUAACCGGAUUGUCCCGCUGUAGCACAACUUAUAGUUCACUUGCUUGUUUGAAUGGAAUUGAAGAACUCCCGUGAGCCGAUGACUACGAAGAAAGCACUUGUUCCGUUCUAAAGUGCAGUUAUUGUGUUGAAGCUAAUGCUGUUGGGUUUGAAGGAUCAGUAUCUGUAGUUGGCGCAGCUGCCCUAGGUGGUGUUGUAGAAAGUCUGUUAGCUUCUCCACUUACUUAUGGGGUGCAUAUUCUUGGGCGAAACCCCUUUUGCUUCUUGUGUUAUCGGUUAUUAAAGUCGACAGUUUCAUCAUAACUUCAAGUGAACUUUCAUCGCUAGUUUCAUCGUAUACAUAAGUCGAGGAGAAUGCCCAAGCAACAGAGAAGCCUUAUCAAUCAAGGAAAGCGUAUUGCUCCUUUUGUAUAGUAUAAACAAUAAAGGGAAGGCAUUGUAGGAGUUCGGAAGUGUUGCUAAUCUAUUUAUUUAUAUGCCAGAAAGAGAGAUCAAAUUCAAACAAGCACUAGGGCGCAAGUAAGGUAUCAAUCAAUUUCCAUCCCUGCAAAGAGAAUUCGUGUUAGCUCUGACUUCAAAGAUUCAAAUGACAUAUUCGUUUUACUGCUUGACUCGGCCCGGCUUUCAUUCCAAUUAUUAGCUUAUUAUAGGAUGAUAUUUACUUGACUAUCUGAUUGCCCCCGAAAACAGGUGUCAUCCCGGCCAAGUAACGACUAAUGUGAUGUUAAAGGAGCCCCCUAGACUUAACGACUUUCCUUUCCACUCUAACUCUGGUAGUACUCUUCCUCGAACCUAUCUCUCCUCGGAUCUUCUCUGGCUACAACUACUUAUGAAACUACUCUACUACUAGUUUGGUAUUCAACUCUCACAGCAGCAGCAGACUUCCCUCGCACCCGAACGAAACAGUCUUCAUCUGCAGGAAUUCAUUGAAUCUUUUACUUGGGCUAACUGAGCUCUUCUCUUACCCGCUCUGCUUCUAUAUACUUUUACACUGCAUCCCUUAAUGGAGCUUCAAUAGAUUCUAUUCUUUCUCUGAACACAAUACUUUCUUUCUUA